AUUUCCUCUGGGGUGUAGCGCUAUAAUGGACCAGUGGUUUUGAUGACUUCCCGAAGUUCUCGCUCCUGGAACGCAUGAUCUGGAAAGACUAACGCAGGGGCAAAAGCCAGGAGAAGAAUGUCUUGAGAGCACUGGCCUUUUCAAUGCUAAGCCUCCAAGGAGUUGGGAGCAGCAGAGCCAAGAGAGCUCAGCAGACCUGGGAAGAAUAGAGUUUGGCCGACCUGGGAGCGUCCUCCGAACGCUCAACCAACUGAGCCACCCAGGCGCCCCUGAUGAGCAAACGAUGCUCUUGAGACGGACAGAGAGUGUCGCACACAGGCGAGACUGCUGUCUUCCUCAUUUCCAGCUCAUCUCUUCCCCCGCCCCUGGAUCAGCCCUUUGACAAUGCGGCUGUGAUAGCAUCAGGGCUCUGCAUAGAAUCCAUCAGGCUUGUAAGGAAGGCACCAGCCUGGCCCAAGAGCCCUUAACAUUGAAGCUUCCCGGCCAAUCCACCACGGCUGCCACCCUGCAUCCAACCACAUUGAACUUGUCCUUCCCCAAGUUCACCAAGAGUCGCUCCCUCCCGUGUUUUUGCACUGGCUCUCUCUUUGGCCUGGUGAAAUCCCACCCAUUUGUCAAAGCCCAGCUUAUAUCCUGUCCCCUCAGGGAAGGCUUCCGAAUGCCUGAAGCUGGCAUCGUCACUUUCCGCCCUGUGUUCUCGGAUACUGUGUAACAGGUCUCCGUGGUAGCACCCUGCGCACUCAUUUGUGAUUACUUUUUCCCCUCUGAUGCGGUGAUACCUUCAAAGGGUAGGAAACACGUUUUGCAUAUUUUAUGUACUCCGAUGUUUCAGAAAUCGCGAGUGAAUUAAAGGAUGAAUGGAUGAACCAUUCCAGCACAAGCGUCCCACGAUACAUCUAAGAGAAGAUGAGAUAUUAAGGAGGUCUCCAGCCUUUUCCUCCACAUUGUCUGGACUCUUCGGCUGACUGACUUGUUUUGCAGAGGGCUUCCUGGGAGCGGAUAAUCACAGAUCCCCAGGGAAAGACCCUCUGUUCACAGAAAUGCAGGUGCCCUUGAAAGAGACCUUUUAGCUGCUGACUUUUCUCAUAAGGAAAACGUACCAGGGAGAGGACAGCAGCACAAAAUAUCGCCAAGGAGAGUGGAGGGGAAAUGUGUGGACAUUCCUUUGCAGAAAAAUCACAGCUCUGUGGGCCGGGAAAUUCUUCCCCUUAAGAGUCAGAUGCUCUGGAAUGUGCAAGGGGAAACAGUCUUAGUAGGGUCUUGACUCAGCAAGGCCUGGAAUUGAUGUUCGGGGCUGUUCUGCAAGGUCCUAGGGCAUUUAGAUACGCAGUGGUCUGAGCCCAAGUGCACCCGCCAGCGUGCAUCAGUACAAGCCUUAAAUCAGAACCACCCGUUACACCCCCCUCCCCUCUCCCUGGCUUGGAGUCCUCCCUCCCAACCUCCCCCCUUCACUGCCGGCUCAUUAAGGCCUUUCCCAGUGCAGAGACACUGCAUUUGGGGGACUGGUGGAGUGUUUGAUAUUUUCCACUCUGCGUGUCAAGGGCAUUUACAGUCGGCGUCAGAAUGUUAUGUCGGUCUGAGGAGGCACUUUGAAGUGUUGGUGGUGGAGGCCACAUGUGCAGGCAAGAUGUGCCUCCUCCCUCCUCCCCACCCCUGAGGUUGCUGCUCAACUCUUUCCCAGCAUCAUGUGACAAUGAACAACACCGCUUAACCCUUUACUUCUGGGGGUAGCUGGUUAUGAUUACUAUCCUUGUUAGUAUGUGGAAAGGCCCUUCACCCUUAUGCGUCCCGACUUUGGAGAGGAUCUGAAGGCCUCGCUCCUCGACCUCUGGUCACCCCACAUUGGACUUUUGGUUGCUGUGCCCGCUACCACUCUGCCCGGACUUCUGCGUAGCACUGCACCUCCAAAGACUGCACGCAAAGCAAAGGCACACGUCUUAAUACCGCCCGGGUGGUAAACGCAGUGGGUACCGCCCGGGUGGUCGAUGCUUGACUCUCUCAUGGCAACCGGAGCCGACUCAGAGAUGCUCGGCCACUUCCCACAGCAGGGAGCCCCCAGAUGCAGCCACGGGGCUUUCCCCUGACUGAAUGAUCAUUCACAGUUGGCCCUUCAAAAGUCGCCUGGCCCAUUCCGUGAAAGCCUGGGGCCCUGAAACUCUGAACCAACAAACAAACACGAGACUUGGGGAGGAAAUAUUAUGAGCUGACCUAAGCGUCUUACUCAGCUGCAUGGUUUGGCUCAUGGGACAGAGCAAGGCUGAGAUCGAUGACCUCCGAAGCUCCUUUCAACUCUGAGGUCUCUCCUAAUAAGGCAUUUGCUCUCCUCUGAAGAGCCUGACUGAAGCGGGAAGAAUGAAGUGACGGAAAGGAGAGAGCUGAUCGCGCUUUGUUGCAAAGAUGUCUUAUCUUGAGGCACACUAGAGAUCUCACAAAGAAUAGAAAAUGCCCUUCCUACCUUCAAAGAGGACACAAGUUCGCUGAGAAGGCACUGAAGUAUGACAAAGACUGGAGUAAAGACUAUCGAACCAGGGGUCGGACCCAGAUUCUAACCCCUGCAUGCCACUAGCUCAGUGACAGAUUCUGGGUAAUUUAGUCCCUCUUAUGCAUCCCAUCUUCCUUGUCUUACCAAUAAAGGAGUUAAAAGCUGACCAUCUCCUUGAUUUCUAAAUACCAUUUUUGAGUAAGAGAAACCAAGGCUCCUUGGAGAAAUGACGGACGCUAGAGAGCUGGGGCAGGUAAGACAGAAGAUGAGCUUGGAGCAUCUCACAGUCCCAAAAAGGAAGCGCUCGACAAACAAACAGAUGGGGACAGGUCGAAAGGACACAGACACCAACCUAAAGGAGUUCCCAAAGGUUAAAGUGGGAGCAAUUUGAUCAGCAAAAUAAAUAAUAGUAUUGGAUUCUAACCACAAGUAUAAAGUAAAUAUACAUGAGUAUAUUUAUUGAUGAGUACCUAUUGGUAAGAUAAAUGAUUGAAUAAAAAAUAUGGGGAAGAAGAGUCAAAUCUUGGUUACAGAAAAAUCUCAAAUAAUGUAGCUAGAUGCUCCCCCUCCAAGACAUGAAGACUGAAUCCCCUCCCCACCCAGACACACCCGGAGAAGGAUCGAGGCUCAGUGAUUCACUUCCAAAGAACAGAAUUGAAUAGGGAAAAGGGAAAAGUAACUUGACACAGGAGAAACCUGGCAGAUCCGACAUUGACCCCGGAUUGGAGGUUCAUAUCACAGUAAUGUCAUGUGGUUACCACGUACUCAUCAUACAAUAUGAUAAGAAGGGCACUUUGCCCCUGUCGUCUUCCCCAAGACACAUAACCCUCAGUCUAUUCACGGGAAAGACAUCAGACAAACUCAGAGGGGAGGACGUUCUACGGGAUCCCUUGCCGGUACUCCCAAGGACCGUCAAGAUCAUUAAACAAACAAAAAACGAAAGACUCACUGAAACUGAUGUAACAUCGUGUGUCAGCUACACUUCAAUUAAAAAAAAAAAAGACUGAGAAACUGUCACAAAUCAGAGGAGACUGGGGAGACAGGACAACGAAAUGCAAUGUGCUAUUCUGGAUUGAAUCCCAGAACAGAAAGAGGACUUUAAUGGGAAAACGGAUG